rnacentral:sRNA from 1 species
GAAGGCAGUAUCAUGCUGUAUUGUGUACACAUGUAUUGUAUCUUUUAGGAUGUCCUGACCUAUGAUGAUGUGCAUGUGAACUUCACUGAGGAAGAGUGGGCAUUGCUGAAUCCUUCUCAGAAGAGUCUCUACCAAGGUGUAAUGCAGGAGACCUGUAGGAAUCUCAGUGCUAUAGGCUACAUUUGGGAAGACCAUACUACUGAAGAAUGUUGUAAAAGUUCAGGAAGACAUGGAAGGUAUGAAAGAAGUUUUACUGGAAAGCAAACCUUUGAUUUUAUUCAGAAUGGUAAUGGCUUUGCAGUUCAGAGUCAUACCCAAAGGCAUA